AACAGGUAAAGAGGAGUUGAUGAAGGAUUAAUUAGAAUAAACACAUAAUAAGUGUACUGAAUACUAGUAAGUGGAUAUAUUAUAUCUAGUCUCUAGUAUUCAGUACAAAGUUAUAUUCCCAACCUCAAUCUACGUUGUCUUAUUCGCUUAUCUGUUUGCAUUAUUUAGUUUAAAUUGAAUUAUUACAGCUUAUAUUAUACAUCCAUCGUAUAAACAAAUAUAGUCACCAUUUUAUCGUCAUAAAAACGAGAAAUACAUCAAUAAGCCAUGUAAUGGGAUGUAGCAACAGAUCCGAUAGCAAGAAUCAAAAGCUUCAAGGACGGAUUCAAUUCUUCAGAUUUCCCCCUCCAAAAAAUCCAAAGGAAUUAGAAAGAAGGAACAAAUGGAUUAGCAAUCUUAAGUAUCGACUUGAUUGGAAACCUAAAAUCAAUUCGUAAUUCCAAUAGUCGAAAAUGUAAAUAUUUUAAAACUAAAAAUUGGAAAUAAUGAUUUUCAUAAAAGUUUGCAAGUCAACAAUACAAAAAGCA
rnacentral:lncRNA from 1 species